AUCACAACAGGAUGGCUUCAUCCAACCAUCAAUCAAUAUGUGCUACUCACUGACUCCUCUUUUCUAACGCGCUCUGAUUCUCUUAUAUCCCGACUGUUCUUUAAUCAUCACGAGACUUAUUUUUCUCUUUUUUUCAUGUAUAUAGGACUUGGAACCUCAGGUUACAAUUGACACCGUUCCAAAUGUGAAGAAACAACAUGAAGUGAACGUCGGUAUCUCCAACUCGUUCGGAUUCGGAGGGCAUAACUCAGUGGUUGUUUUUGCACCCUACAAACCUUGAACAAAAGCUCAUAAUUUCUU